GCAUAUCAAGUGCAAUUGCAGUAUCCUUGAAGUCAUAAUAUCCAUCAAAUACAUUUGAUGUAGCACCAUAAGCAAUAGCUAACUGGUGAUUGAUCCACUUCGGAUUUGUGCUCAAUUUCAACGCAUACGGUGCACUGUCCGCUGCUGGUUCCACUACGUCAUUGGCAUACAUUUCAUGAAUCAGAUUGAACGCUCUCUGCAGAUCAUCUUUUGUAAAAUUCAGCUUCAUUGUCCAUUAGGCAGUUGGCGGGGUAACGGCCCACCAAACCAACGAUGGAUAGGGGUUCUGAGAGGAAGGUCCCCCACAUUGGAACUGAGACACGGUCCAAACUCCUACGGGAGGCAGCAGUGAGGAAUAUUGGUCAAUGGACGAGAGUCUGAACCAGCCAAGUAGCGUGAAGGAUGACUGCCCUAUGGGUUGUAAACUUCUUUUAUAUGGGAAUAAAAAAGGCCACGUGUGACCUAUUGUAUGUACCUUAUGAAUAAGCAUCGGCUAAUUCCGUGCCAGCAGCCGCGGUAAUACGGAAGAUGCGAGCGUUAUCCGGAUUUAUUGGGUUUAAAGGGAGCGUAGGCGGGCGAUUAAGUCAGCGGUAAAAUAGUGUGGCUCAACCAUGCUCUGCCGUUGAUACUGGUUGCCUUGAGUGCACACAAGGAAGAUGGAAUUCGUGGUGUAGCGGUGAAAUGCUUAGAUAUCACGAAGAACUCCGAUUGCGAAGGCAGUCUUCUGGGGUGUUACUGACGCUGAGGCUCGAAAGUGCGGGUAUCAAACAGGAUUAGAUACCCUGGUAGUCCGCACCGUAAACGAUGAAUACUCGCUGUUGGCCAAAGCAUAUCGGUGCAGAGUGUGCCGCCGAGCACGGCGAGCGCGGGCACAUCGACUGUAUUCGGAGCGGCGAGGCGAAUGUCGUCGCAGUGCAGGGUCACAUCGCCGUCAAGCACCAGCGAGGGGAUGGGGGGAUCCCCGCCGCCGCAGUCGAGGGCUGCGGCAUUUAAGACCGUCAGCGUACCGCCGCCGGUGACAAGCACGCAGUCAAAGCCCUCAAAGCAGGCAUACUCCGUGCCGCCGCCGUCCACGGUGCAGUCGCCGGAGAUGUUCAGACGGAGGAUGCCGCCGUCCGGCGCGGUGAGGUUCGGGAGGGUGCAGUCUGCUGCGGAGACGGUGAAGGCGUGGUACAGCUCGCCGUUCCACGCGAGCUGACCGUAGGAGCCCUCCUGCU
rnacentral:rRNA from 1 species